AUUGAACGCUGGCGGCAUGCUUUACACAUGCAAGUCGAACGGUAACAGGCCGCAAGGUGCUGACGAGUGGCGCACGGGUGAGUAAUGCAUCGGAACGUGCCCAGUCGUGGGGGAUAACUACUCGAAAGAGUAGCUAAUACCGCAUACGAUCUAUGGAUGAAAGCGGGGGACCGUAAGGCCUCGCGCGAUUGGAGCGGCCGAUGUCAGAUUAGGUAGUUGGUGGGGUAAAGGCUCACCAAGCCAACGAUCUGUAGCUGGUCUGAGAGGACGACCAGCCACACUGGGACUGAGACACGGCCCAGACUCCUACGGGAGGCAGCAGUGGGGAAUUUUGGACAAUGGGCGCAAGCCUGAUCCAGCAAUGCCGCGUGCAGGAAGAAGGCCUUCGGGUUGUAAACUGCUUCUGUACGGAACGAAACGGCUCUGGUUAAUACCCGGGGCUAAUGACGGUACCGUAAGAAUAAGCACCGGCUAACUACGUG
rnacentral:rRNA from 1 species